CAAUAAACACAGAGACCGGGACACAGAGGACACAUUUUCUGUUAGCAGAAGACAAGUUUAAUAAAACAGACUUCUUACACGUCAGGUUGACAAAGUCAUACUCAUUCCUGCCUGAACUCCAAACACUCCCUCUCAUAUCUCUCUCAUCAGUGUAAAAACACCAGUACUAAUCUGCAAGAUCAGGCUGCCCCCAUGCCCUGCAUGGUGUUGGCUGAGGGAUUUUCACUAUGGACAGAACUCGGGGUUGCUUCUGUAGGAAGCUUUCCUGAAGGGGAAGAUGAGGACAUGUGAUGCAGCCACCCAUGUGCCUCUGUGCACGUGCACUUCCAGACUGUCCCAUGCUAUUUCUCAUCUCGUGUGUAUCCUGACUCUCCCCUACAUCUAUCUUCCUGCCAGCAUCACAUAUCCAGGAUGAGACCGAGGUAGUUUAUACUACAGGCUUCAACCUGUUGAGUUAUGAUAACAAGAAAACUUUCAAGAAAUCCUUAAUCACUUCUAUGCUACCUUGUUUGCCCUCUUUCUCCUCUCUUAGCUUUACAACCAUGCAAAUGUUCGUGACAGACUAGAGAGCGGGCAGCCAACACAUAGGAGUGCACAGCCAGUCUUACUUGGGGUGGGAGGAAAGGGAAAACCCCACCAGUGAGAAGUCCCCUCUAUCCUGCAUCCCAGAGCAGGAAGCUGCAUCCAGAGAUCAGAACCAGGCAGCUUUAGUGUCCUUUCCAAGGAAUGUGGCCACAGCAUCCUUUACAGAAAGCAUGCAAUGAGGUGUUCCAGCAGAGCAGGGACCACAGCCAUCUCGUGUGGGAGAUGUGCCUGCCCAGCAUACAGAGACUGCUCACUCCAUUGCCUUCCAUACCUCUUCCCCAUUCACACAGCACACCAGAGCCUAAGGACUGGAACCACAGAGAUGUUUCGGGGGCCUAACUUCUAUUCCAGACUCCCAGGGGAGGCCGGUUACCCAAAUAGGAGUGGAGUGCCUGAUUACCUUAGCAGGUCUGGGCUCCUCUGGCUGUGCCCAUGCCGGGACCCUUACUGCUCACUGCUCCUCUGGCUGGCGUCGAAGUGUG
rnacentral:lncRNA from 1 species